rnacentral:rRNA from 1 species
CCCUUAGAUGUUCUGGGCGGCCCGCGCACUACAAUGGCGUGUGCAGCGAGUGCCGAAGUAGAGUUUUCCGAGGUAUUCUUGCAAUGCUCGUUUUGAUGGGGAUAGACCCUUGCAACUGUUGGUUUUGAACGAGGAAUUCCUUGUAAGCAUGGUUUAUCAUCCGACGCCGAAUGCGUCCCUGCCCUUUGUACACACCGCCCGUCGCUCCUACCGAUGAGUCGUCCGGUGAAGUUCGUAGACCUCGUGAUCGCGGAUCACUGGGGGAAGCAAAAUGAACCUCGCGGUUUAGAGGAAGGAGAAGUCGUAACA